rnacentral:rRNA from 1 species
ACGGGUGAGUAACGCGUGGGAAUCUACCCAUCUCUACGGAAUAACGCAUGGAAACGUGUGCUAAUACCGUAUACGUCCUUCGGGAGAAAGAUUUAUCGGAGAUGGAUGAGCCCGCGUUGGAUUAGCUAGUUGGUGGGGUAAAGGCCUACCAAGGCGACGAUCCAUAGCUGGUCUGAGAGGAUGAUCAGCCACACUGGGACUGAGACACGGCCCAGACUCCUACGGGAGGCAGCAGUGGGGAAUAUUGGACAAUGGGCGCAAGCCUGAUCCUGCCAUGCCGCGUGAGUGAUGAAGGCCCUAGGGUUGUAAAGCUCUUUCACCGGUGAAGAUAAUGACGGUAACCGGAGAAGAAGCCCCGGCUAACUUCGUGCCAGCAGCCGCGGUAAUACGAAGGGGGCUAGCGUUGUUCGGAUUUACUGGGCGUAAAGCGCACGUAGGCGGACUAUUAAGUCAGGGGUGAAAUCCCGGGGCUCAACCCCGGAACUGCCUUUGAUACUGGUAGUCUUGAGUUCGAGAGAGGUGAGUGGAAUUCCGAGUGUAGAGGUGAAAUUCGUAGA